rnacentral:rRNA from 1 species
AUCAUGGCUCAGGACGAACGCCGGCGGCGUGCCUAAUACAUGCAAGUCGAGCGGACUUGACGGAGCUUGCUCCGUUCAGGUCAGCGGCGGACGGGUGAGUAACACGUGGGUAACCUGCCUUGCAGAUUGGGAUAACUCCGGGAAACCGGGGCUAAUACCGAAUAACAUCGGAAGCUACAUGGUUUCCUGUUAAAAGGCGGCUUCGGCUGUCACUGCUGGAUGGACCCGCGGCGCAUUAGCUAGUUGGUGAGGUAACGGCUCACCAAGGCGACGAUGCGUAGCCGACCUGAGAGGGUGAUCGGCCACACUGGGACUGAGACACGGCCCAGACUCCUACGGGAGGCAGCAGUAGGGAAUCUUCCGCAAUGGACGAAAGUCUGACGGAGCAACGCCGCGUGAGUGAAGAAGGUUUUCGGAUCGUAAAACUCUGUUGUCAGGGAAGAACAAGUAUCGGAGUAACUGCCGGUACCUUGACGGUACCUGACCAGAAAGCCACGGCUAACUACGUGCCAGCAGCCGCGGUAAUACGUAGGUGGCAAGCGUUGUCCGGAAUUAUUGGGCGUAAAGCGCGCGCAGGCGGCCUUUUAAGUCUGAUGUGAAAGCCCCCGGCUCAACCGGGGAGGGUCAUUGGAAACUGGAAGGCUUGAGUGCAGAAGAGAAGAGCGGAAUUCCACGUGUAGCGGUGAAAUGCGUAGAGAUGUGGAGGAACACCAGUGGCGAAGGCGGCUCUUUGGUCUGUAACUGACGCUGAGGCGCGAAAGCGUGGGGAGCAAACAGGAUUAGAUACCCUGGUAGUCCACGCCGUAAACGAUGAGUGCUAAGUGUUGGGGGGUUUCCGCCCCUCAGUGCUGCAGCUAACGCAUUAA